UGCAACGCGAAGAACCUUACCUGGUCUUGACAUCCACGGAAGUUUUCAGAGAUGAGAAUGUGCCUUCGGGAACCGUGAGACAGGUGCUGCAUGGCUGUCGUCAGCUCGUGUUGUGAAAUGUUGGGUUAAGUCCCGCAACGAGCGCAACCCUUAUCCUUUGUUGCCAGCGGUCCGGCCGGGAACUCAAAGGAGACUGCCAGUGAUAAACUGGAGGAAGGUGGGGAUGACGUCAAGUCAUCAUGGCCCUUACGACCAGGGCUACACACGUGCUACAAUGGCGCAUACAAAGAGAAGCGACCUCGCGAGAGCAAGCGGACCUCAUAAAGUGCGUCGUAGUCCGGAUUGGAGUCUGCAACUCGACUCCAUGAAGUCGGAAUCGCUAGUAAUCGUGGAUCAGAAUGCCACGGUGAAUACGUUCCCGGGCCUUGUACACACC
rnacentral:rRNA from 1 species